UGCUUGCAGGUUGCAAUAAUAAAAAAGAACAUCGCUUGCAAUGACUUCCAACACAACACCUGCCCAAAAAGAAAUUUUACUCGCCUACAUGCGCAAGUAUACUUCAAUGGCAACAAAUAGCCAAGCAGAGAGCUCAGGAAGGGACCCGAACAACAAACGGUGGGAAGCACUUACCUUAAAGCUUAACUCGAAUGGGCCCCCAUCAAAAAUUGUAAAGCCUGGAAGAAAACAUGGGCCGACUUUAAACACCGCACAAAGCAAAAACUUGAGGAGAAUAAAAACUCUCUACACAAAACUGGUGGAGGCCCAUGCAAGAAAAAGGAACUAACUCCGUUCGAGGAAGCUGUAGUAGAAUUAGCAAAAAUACGGACAGCAAUAUAUGGGAUAAACGACAUAAAGACAUUUAGUGCCGAUAUUCAACCGCAACCGCCUAUGAGCCAACCACCUACGCGCCAUUCGUCGUCCUCAUCUUCAUCAUGGGAGUCAAAGGAUAGUCUAGACAAUCUUGUCAAAUCCCUUGUGAGUUCAAAAAGUGAGGAGACUGUUCCUGCUGCUGUUCCGAUUUCUGUUGCUCUUGCGGAACAAACAAAUACUGAAAAGAACAUUUCACAAUCAUCUGCAUCUAAAGGAAUGAUGGACAAGCUGGAAAUGUUUAAGAACUCGGCAAGUUCCAGUGAAGACUUUUACAAAAAAGUCGUGGACGUAUUGUCAGAAAUACGAGAUCUCAAACGGAAGUAAAGAUUUUAAAACAACAAGCUUUAGA